UACGAAGGGGGCUAGCGUUGUUCGGAAUUACUGGGCGUAAAGGGCGCGUAGGCGGUUGCUCAAGUCAGGCGUGAAAGCCCCGGGCUCAACCUGGGAAUAGCGCUUGAGACUGGGCGGCUUGAGUUCGGGAGAGGUGAGUGGAAUUCCCAGUGUAGAGGUGAAAUUCGUAGAUAUUGGGAAGAACACCGGUGGCGAAGGCGGCUCACUGGACCGACACUGACGCUGAGGCGCGAAAGCGUGGGGGAGCAAACAGG
rnacentral:rRNA from 1 species